rnacentral:lncRNA from 1 species
CUUCGUGGUUAUUAGAGUUAUGCCUUUGCUUUUCCUGCACCUUAGGGAUAUGGGACUAACUAUGAACACCUGGAUGGAGCAUAGGUAGGUAUGUGCAAAAUCCUGGAAUAUCACUUCUAGGAAGACGUCCAAAUCUUGAUCACUUGUUGGAACAGGUAGGGAUGCAAAUGGCUUUUCAAAUUGUCAUUUUUGUUAAUGUAGGUCCUAGAUUCAUGGUUUUCUUAAGAUUUUAUAUCAUCUUAGCUUUAUGCAUUUAAUGA